AUGCUGCCGCCUUACUUCGUCAAUGUCAGACAUGGUUGCACUGGCGACGGCCAACGACUGCUCAUCAGCGGAGAUUGGCUUGGAUGCCUUGAUGAGGUGGUAGCGCAGGUUCCUCUGGCUGACAUCCUCAACCUUUGCUCUGAGCUCCUUCAUCUUCUUGGCCACGCGCCGCCGGUGCAGCAGCUUGCGAGGAAAACGCCACCAGGACCUCCUCACCGUGACACGAACAGCGAAGUCCUGGAGGCAGUCCUCGACGUUGUAGGCAACGUCGCGGACUUGCUUCACCCAGAUCUUCAUGACCCUGUUGUGGCUGUCACGGUCGUCGUGCGCGGCCAUCAGGAAGCCCUGCAUCAUCUCGAGCUCGUCGGCGAUGAAGGUCUGGUCGCGCUGGAUGCCGAGGUGGAGGGCAGCCUCCUUUGCGAUGGCAGACUCGGCGUAGUGGAUCGCCCUGUUCAGCACGGCCCUGGCUGGGCGGUCCAGGACACACCGGGAAAGCAGCUCGGCUACUUACAGGAGAAGCAUACGAUGCCUGAUCACUCCUACACAAAUGGUAAGCAGGUGAGGAGUUCAUUGCUCAAACAAGCAUAUCACUGGCCGGUACAAAGUGCUUUACACCACGCAGGCUUUGCCCUGAUCCUGAUGAAAGCGGCUGGUGUAGGUGAGGUUUGA
rnacentral:rRNA from 1 species